UAAUACGAAGGGUGCGAGCGUUAAUCGGAAUUACUGGGCGUAAAGCGCGCGUAGGUGGUUAAGUAAGCGAUCUGUGAAAGCUCCGGGCUUAACCUGGGAACUGCAGGUCGAACUGCUUGGCUAGAGUAUGGUAGAGGGGUGUGGAAUUUCCUGUGUAGCGGUGAAAUGCGUAGAUAUAGGAAGGAACAUCAGUGGCGAAGGCGACACCCUGGACCGAUACUGACACUGAGGCGCGAAAGCGUGGGUAGCGAACAGG
rnacentral:rRNA from 1 species